rnacentral:rRNA from 1 species
CCUACGGGUGGCAGCAGUGAGGAAUAUUGGUCAAUGGACGCAAUUCUGAACCAGCCAUGUAGCGUGCAGGAUGACGGCUCUAUGGGUUGUAAACUGCUUUUAUACCGGGAUAAAAUGCUCUACGUGUAGGUUUUUGCAAGUACGGUAUGAAUAAGGAUCGGCUAAUUCCGUGUCAGCAGCCGCGGUAAUACGGAGGAUCCGAGCGUUAUCCGGAUUUAUUGGGUUUAAAGGGUGCGUAGGUGGUUUUUUAAGUGUGCGGUGAAAUACCGAGGCUCAACCGUGGGACUGCAGCUGAAACUGGGGGACUAGAGUUCGGAAGAGGUAGGCGGAAUUCGUGGUGUAGCGGUGAAAUGCUUAGAUAUUACGAAGAACGCCGAUUGCGAAGGCAGCUUACCGUGGCGUAACUGACGCUGAUGCACGAAGGCGUGGGUAUCGAACAGGAUUAGAUACCCGAGUAGUC